GCUCCUUUGACGUUAGCGGCGGACGGGUGAGUAACACGUGGGCAACCUACCCUAUAGUUUGGGAUAACUCCGGGAAACCGGGGCUAAUACCGAAUAAUCUCUUUUGCUUCAUGGCAAGAGACUGAAAGACGGCAUCUCGCUGUCGCUAUAGGAUGGGCCCGCGGCGCAUUACCUAGUUGGGGAGGUAACGGCUCACCAAGGCGACAAUGCGUACCCGACCUGAAAGGGGGAUCGGCCACACUGGGACUGAAACACGGCCCAAACUCCUACGGGAGGCAGCAGUAGGGAAUCUUCCACAAUGGGCGAAAGCCUGAUGGAGCACCGCCGCGUGAGUGAAGAAGGUUUUCGGAUCGUAAAACUCUGUUGUAAGGAAAAAACAAGUACAGUAGUAACUGGCUGUACCUUGACGGUACCUUA
rnacentral:rRNA from 1 species